UACGUAGGCGGCAAGCGUUGUCCGGAUUUAUUGGGCGUAAAGCGCCCGCAGGCGGCUUGAUAAGUUUCAGGUGAAAUCUCCCGGCUCAACCGGGAGGGUGCCUGGAAAACUAUCAGGCUUGAGUCAUGGAGAGGGAUGUGGAAUUCCCGGUGUAGUGGUGAAAUGCGUAGAUAUCGGGAGGAACACCAGUGGCGAAGGCGGCAUCCUGGCCAUGUACUGACGCUCAGGGGCGAAAGCGUGGGGAGCAAACCGG
rnacentral:rRNA from 1 species